GGGUCCCCCUUUUAUAGGCGGAGGGUGCAACAGACUGAUAGCGAUGUUUGUAACCGUCUGACAGUGGGCCGCUCGGGGUCAGGAGGAGUUUGUUACGAAGAGUGGUGGAGUGAAAUCAUGGCCAUCACCAUGGCCUGCCACGCGGAACCUGUCGCACGGAGUGGAGCAACGUUUGUUGUCACGACUUGUCAGAGAGUGG
rnacentral:lncRNA from 1 species